rnacentral:rRNA from 1 species
UACGAAGGGGGCUAGCGUUGUUCGGAUUUACUGGGCGUAAAGCGCACGUAGGCGGAUUGUUAAGUCAGGGGUGAAAUCCUGGAGCUCAACUCCAGAACUGCCUUUGAUACUGGCAAUCUUGAGUCCGGAAGAGGUGAGUGGAACUCCUAGUGUAGAGGUGGAAUUCGUAGAUAUUGGGAAGAACACCGGUGGCGAAGGCGGCUCACUGGCUCGUAUCUGACGCUCAGGCGCGACAGCGUGGGGAUCAAACAGG